AUCAGCAUCCCAGUGAAAUAUGCCCUAACAAAACAAACGGAGCAGGUAUCAGGCACGAACAUUCAGCCCAAAACACCAAGCUACGCCACACCCACACGGGCCCUCAGCAGUGAUAAACAUUAAGCAAUAAGCGAACCCCCCCCAUUAAGCUUGACUUAGUUAUGAUUAAUAGGGCCGGUCAAUCUCGUGCCAGCCACCGCGGUUAUACGAGAGGCCCAAAGCAGCAAACUUCGGCGUAAAUCGUAACCAGAAUACAUGCCACCCACCUAAAAGCUAAACAAUGUCCUAGCCGUAAAACACAGGACAAAUGAAACCCAAAACUUUUAACACAAAGGCAGUUUGAUUUACGAAAACUAAGAAACAAACUAGGAUUAGAUACCCUACUAUGCUUAGUCGUUAAUAAUGGUAUUUAAACACAUAAAAUGCCCGCCAGAAGAUUACAAGCGAAAAGCUUAAAACUCAAAGGACUUGGCGGUGCUCCACACCCGACUUAGAGGAGCCUGUCCUAUAAUCGAUACUCCACGCUAAACCUCACCAUUCCUUGCCAAAAACAGCCUAUAUACCGCCGUCACCAACUUACCCCAUGAGGGUAAAACAGUAAGUAUAAUAGUUAUUUAACUAAAACGUCAGGUCAAGGUGUAGCUAAUAGAAUGGCAGAGAUGGGCUACAUUUUUUAAAAUAAAACAAACGGCACGAAACUAUGAAACAAGCUUCCGAAGGAGGAUUUAAUAGUAAAAUUAUUAAGAAAACUAAUUUUAAACACGC
rnacentral:rRNA from 1 species